rnacentral:pre_miRNA from 17 species
GAGGAGGAAGAGGAGCUCCUUUCGAUCCAAUUCAGGAGAGGAAGUGGUAGGAUGCAGCUGCCGAUUCAUGGAUACCUCUGGAGUGCAUGGCAGCAAUGCUGUAGGCCUGCACUUGCAUGGGUUUGCAUGACCCGGGAGAUGAACCCACCAUUGUCUUCCUCUAUUGAUUGGAUUGAAGGGAGCUCCACAUCUCUCUCGU